UACAUGGGGUGCGAACGUUGCUCGGAAUUAUUGGGCGUAAAGCGCGCGUAGGCGGUUACUUAAGUCGGAUGUGAAAGCCCUCGGCUUAACUGAGGAAGUGCACCCGAAACUGAGUAGCUAGAGUACGAAAGAGGGUCGCGGAAUUCCCGGUGUAGAGGUGAAAUUCGUAGAUAUCGGGAGGAACACCGGUGGCGAAGGCGGCGACCUGGGUCGAGACUGACGCUGAGGCGCGAAAGCGUGGGGAGCAAACAGG
rnacentral:rRNA from 1 species